AAAAUAGCUUGCUCUUCCGUGACGAGCGGCGGACGGGUGAGUAAUGUCUGGGAAACUGCCUGAUGGAGGGNGANCACUACUGGAAACGGUAGCUAAUACCGCAUAACGUCGCAAGACCAAAGAGGGGGACCUUCGGGCCUCUUGCCAUCAGAUGUGCCCAGAUGGGAUUAGCUAGUAGGUGGGGUAACGGCUCACCUAGGCGACGAUCCCUAGCUGGUCUGAGAGGAUGACCAGCCACACUGGAACUGAGACACGGUCCAGACUCCUACGGGAGGCAGCAGUGGGGAAUAUUGCACAAUGGGCGCAAGCCUGAUGCAGCCAUGCCGCGUGUAUGAAGAAGGCCUUCGGGUUGUAAAGUACUUUCAGCGGGGAGGAAGGUGUUGAGGUUAAUAACCUCAGCAAUUGACGUUACCCGCAGAAGAAGCACCGGCUAACUCCGUGCCAGCAGCCGCGGUAAUACGGAGGGUGCAAGCGUUAAUCGGAAUUACUGGGCGUAAAGCGCACGCAGGCGGUCUGUCAAGUCGGAUGUGAAAUCCCCGGGCUCAACCUGGGAACUGCAUUCGAAACUGGCAGGCUAGAGUCUUGUANAGGGGGGUAGAAUUCCAGGUGUAGCGGUGAAAUGCGUAGAGAUCUGGAGGAAUACCGGUGGCGAAAGGCGGCCCCCUGGGACAAAAACUGA
rnacentral:rRNA from 1 species